CUUGUUGGUGAGGUAAUGGCCUACCAAGGCGACGACGGGUAGCCGGCCUGAGAGGGUGACCGGCCACACUGGGACUGAGACACGGCCCAGACUCCUACGGGAGGCAGCAGUGGGGAAUAUUGCACAAUGGGCGAAAGCCUGAUGCAGCGACGCCGCGUGAGGGAUGAAGGCCUUCGGGUUGUAAACCUCUUUCAGCAGGGAAGAAGCGCAAGUGACGGUACCUGCAGAAGAAGCGCCGGCUAACUACGUGCCAGCAGCCGCGGUAAUACGUAGGGCGCAAGCGUUAUCCGGAUUUAUUGGGCGUAAAGAGCUCGUAGGCGGUUUGUCGCGUCUGCCGUGAAAGUCCGAGGCUCAACCUUGGAUUUGCAUCGGGUACGGGCAGACUAGAGUGCGGUAGGGGAGACUGGAAUUCCUGGUGUAGCGGUGAAAUGCGCAGAUAUCAGGAGGAACACCGAUGGCGAAGGCAGGUCUCUGGGCAUCAACUGACGCUGAGGAGCGAAAGCAUGGGGAGCGAACAGGAUUAGAUACCCUGGUAGUCCAUGCCGUAAACGUUGGGCACUAGGUGUGGGCUACAU
rnacentral:rRNA from 1 species